rnacentral:snRNA from 1 species
AUCCUUUUGCAGUGGCAGUAUUGUAGCCUAUGAGGUUUAUCCGAGGCGCGAUUAUUGCUAGUUGAAAACUUUACCCAAUUCUCGCCUUGAUGACUUGAAAUAUAGUCAGCAGUGGCAAUUUUUGUUGGUCUCUGAGGAGA